rnacentral:lncRNA from 1 species
CUGGGCCAUCUUCCUCCCUGCCUCAGACCCUCAGUAAGAGACCUUGGGAGCACCUCCCACACCACACUAGUAGCUACUUCUUGGCCAUCCUUUGGGUGUAGCCCAGUCUACUCUCAGGAAAACUAACCCAAUAAAGAGCUGAGAUUGGUUCCCGGAGUGGGAUUGAAGCCAUUUGUAUAGGAAAUUCUAGAGUUCUCUGGAAGUAGGGACACGGGCUCUGUGGACUUUUUGCCUGAAAUACCAAAGCACAUGCAUGACCAGACUGAAAGAUGGUUGUGUUCUGUACAGCGGCCAUGUUCUGAUGGAUUCUGGAAGACAGAGGGAUGAGACAGGCAGCUGCUGGAGUAUCUCCAACAGGUACAUUCACUGGGAGGAAAGUUGAAGAUACAGUAUUUAAGGACGUCGUUUGUAUUCAUGGAAGUGCUUUUUUUUAUGUUUCUCAUUACUGGAUAUGUUUUCUGCUGAAAAUAUUCUGUCAUCUUCCCCAAAGUGGGCAUUAUCUUAAAGCUGCAAUGAAAAGAGAUAAAGAACUGGAAAAAAAAUCUUUUUUUUUUCUUUUUGAGCAGGUUUGUACACUUCCAUUUUCUUCUCAUCCUCAGUCACUCAGAUGCCUUCUAAAAAUCUCAGAGAUUUAGGGACAGAUCACCUAAAGAGAAAUGCAGUUGAUCCCAUUGGUAUCAAGGAAUUUUCUAGAGAAAUGGUAUGUGGCAAAACAAUUCCAGGUAUUUUCUUGGAUGGGUUAACUUUAUAAAAAUGUAAUGUGUAUCCGACUUUCAUUAGCCCAGGCGCUAGGGAAAGGGCUUAGCUGUUCUUGCUGAUGCACUUUUAUCACUGAUGAAUAGGAUGGUGUGCAGGACAGGACCUGAUUUUUGGAGGCCCUGGUCAGGCUUUACCUUUGCUGGAAAGGGAGGCAACCACAACCAACCACUUCAUCUCUGGGCCUCAUCUUCUUCAUCCUGCGUGAUGGGGAAAAGGAUGUGGAUGUCUUCAAGGCACUUUCUGGUACUAGCCUUCAGCAAUUUUUGGUUCACCUCAAUUAUGGACAUAGUCAAAUGGCUGGUUCACCAAGUGAGGAAAAAACAAUCAUUCUUAUUUUAUGUGUAACUGGAUCUUCUGCUCACAACUUUUCUGAGAAUAAAUUUGUGAAUACCAGCA